rnacentral:lncRNA from 1 species
GUUGAGAUCCUAUCUACUUCUCCUUCCUCUUUUGCUGGAUCAAUAAGGAGGAGGUGUCACUGAGUCGCACGUGUGUUGAACAUGGAGUUGCCGUCCAUUCAACAUUAGAUCGGAUCAGAACGCGAUUGGAUCGUGAAGAGAACGACUGCAUCAACCAUGUUAUACACGCUUCUGCUUAGCGAUGUACAAGGGCGUGUAGAUGCACUACCCAUCUCAUAGCUGUUGAUCUCCAUAGAUAGAGCUUGGGUGGGCAUAGGAUUUUUUUGUUUCCCAUGCUACGUUC